AUGCUGAAGACUUUGGGUGUUGAGGGGCUGUCUUGGUUGACACGCCUCGUCAACAUUGCGUGGAAGUCUGGGACAGUGCCUAGGGGGAGGCAGACCGGGGUGGUGGUUCCCCUAUUUAAAAAGGGGACCAGAGAGUGUGUGCCAACUAUAGGGGUAUCACACUUCUCAGCCUCCCCGGUAAAGUCUACUCCAAGGUGCUGGAAAGGAGGGUUCGGCCGAUUGGUUGGGAUGAGGAUCAGCACCGCAAAAUCUGAGGCCAUGGCUCUCAGCAGGAAACCGGUGAAUGGCCUACUCCGGGUAGGGAAUGAGCCCUUACCCCAAGUGAAGGAGUUCAAGUACCUUGGGGUCUUGUUCGCGAGUGAGGGCAUGAUGGAGCGAGAGAUUGGCCGGAGAAUCGGAGCAGCGGGGACGGUAUUACAUUCGCUUUACCGCACCGUUGUGACGAAAAGAGAGCUGAGCCAGAAGGCAAAGCUCUCGAUCUUCCGGGCGUUCUUCGUUCCUACCCUCUUCUGGGUCAUGACCGAAAGAACGAGAUCACGGGUACAAGCAGCCAAAAUGGGUUUUCUCAGACGGGUGGCUGGCGUCUCCCUUACAGAUAGGGUGAGAAGCUCAGCCAUCCGUGAGAGACUCGGAGUAGAGCCGCUGCUCCUUUACGUUGAAAGGAGCCAGUUGAGGUGGUUCGGGCAUCUAGUAAGGAUGCCACCUGGCCGCCUCCCUAGGGAGGUGUUCCAGGCACGUCUAGCUGGGAAGAGACCCCGGGGAAGACCCAGGACUCGGUGGAGAGAUUAUAUCUCCUCACUGGCCUGGGAACGCCUCGGGAUCCCCCAGUUGGAGCUGGCGGAUGUGGCCCGGAGAAGGGAAGUUCGGGGUUCCUUACUGGAGCUGCUGCCCCCACGACCCGACCCCGGAUAUGCGGUAGACGAUGGAUGGAUGGAUGGAUAUUGUGUGUGUGUGGGUGGGUGCGUGCGUGUGGGUGUGUGUGGGUGGGUGCUUGCACAACACUGCCCCCUCUUACUGGAGGCUGCAACUACUUUCCCUUUUGUUUCUCAGUUGAGUGAACUGUGA
rnacentral:lncRNA from 1 species